AGAUUGAACGCUGGCGGCAUGCCUUACACAUGCAAGUCGAACGGCAGCACGGGGGCAACCCUGGUGGCGAGUGGCGAACGGGUGAGUAAUGCAUCGGAACGUGCCCAGUAGUGGGGGAUAACUAGUCGAAAGAUUAGCUAAUACCGCAUACGACCUAUGGGUGAAAGCGGGGGACCUUUACCGGCCUCGCGCUAUUGGAGCGGCCGAUGUCUGAUUAGCUAGUUGGCGGGGUAAAAGCCCACCAAGGCUUCGAUCAGUAGCUGGUCUGAGAGGACGACCAGCCACACUGGGACUGAGACACGGCCCAGACUCCUACGGGAGCAGCAGU
rnacentral:rRNA from 1 species